rnacentral:piRNA from 1 species
UAAGAGUGAUGAUGAAGUAACAGAAGCCAGU